GAUGAACGCUGACAGAAUGCUUAACGCAUGCAAGUCUUUGGCGAAGCUGUGCUCGCCCAGCCUAGCCAAGGCGGACGGGUGAGUAACGCGUAAGGAACUUGCCCUGCAGUCAGGGAUAACAGACGGAAACGACUGAUAAGACCUGGUAAAGUCAGGCGGACUCAUGUCCAGCCUGAUGAAAAGAGAUGCUGCAGGAGAGCCUUGCGUCCUAUUAGCUUGUUGGUGGGGUAACGGCCCACCAAGGCGAUGAUAGGUAGCCGGCCUGAGAGGGUGGACGGCCACAAGGGGACUGAGAUGCGGCCCUGACUCAUACGGGAGGCAGCAGUGGGGAAUAUUGGACAAUGGGGGCAACCCUGAUCCAGCAAUUCUGCGUGGACGAUGAAGGUUUUCGGAUUGUAAAGUGCUUUCAGCAGGGAAGAAAAAAAUGACGGUACCUGCAGAAGAAGCGACGGCUAAAUACGUG
rnacentral:rRNA from 1 species